rnacentral:rRNA from 1 species
CACGGGGGGAGCAAGCGUUGUUCGGAAUCACUGGGCGUAAAGGGCGUGUAGGCGGUUCGGUAAGUGGGAUGUGAAAUCCCUCGGCUCAACCGAGGACCUGCAUCCCAAACUGCCGAGCUUGAGUAUGGGAGAGGAUGAGGGAAUUCCUGGUUUAGCGGUGAAAUGCGUAGAUAUCAGGAGGAACACCGGUGGCGAAGGCGCUCAUCUGGCCCAAUACUGACGCUGAGGCGCGAAAGCUAGGGGAGCAAACGGG